GUCUUGUGUUAAAUAGUUGCUCCGACCUUGCGUCGGAGAGGAAAGUCCGAACACAUAUUCCGACCUUGCGUCGGAGAAGCGUAGCGGGUAACGCCCGUCGCCCGCAAGGGUAGAGUUGCGAACAGUGACGAACCGAUUUAGUUCGGGUGAAACGGCAAAAUACUUACGUGUGUGCAAGAUCGUGUCCCGAGAGAAAUCGAGGGAAGAAUCGCUUGACUCCGACGGUAACGUCGGAGCUAGAUAAAUAACUAUUAUUCCGACCUCGCGUCGGAACACAGAAUUCGGCUUAUAGACACAAGACUUGC
rnacentral:RNase_P_RNA from 1 species